rnacentral:lncRNA from 1 species
UGGUGGGGGAAGGGUCCACUAACGUUACUCGUUUUUGCAUUUCACUUUCUGACCGUGGAGAGCGCAACGAUCUAGGGGUAUUUUUUAAAGAUCGCAAGGACUCUGACGGUCACAUUAAGAACUGCAAACACGGGUACUCUUAGCGGAGUCACCCCCACCACCAAAAAUUAGCUGGAGAUGCCAGACCUGUAUGUAAGACCGUGGUUGUCUCUUUUCUACUACUAGGGAAAGCGCAGUCCAUGCUCUGUCUAUGGUACCGACCAGAAACUCAUCCUGAAGGUCCACUGGGCUUUGACUGAGGGCCAGAAAAACAUCGCAUGCUUCGAAGUGCCGGCGCAAAUAACGUAAUGCCAAAUUCAUAAAUGUAGAAAUCGUCCGCACUGCAUUCACCGGUAAUAAUUGUCACACAGUUGUUAGCGUUUUUAACAUUACCAUUACAUUUUUUCUCCAUUUAUACGAAAUGAUAUUCUUGCAACGUUUUCUUUUGAUUAUUUUUUCUUUUUUUUUGUGUAUUUUAAUAUUGGAUAAUGGGUAAAAAAUUUGCAAAUAAGGGAGAGAGGGGGAAAAAAAAGAUCCCACGAAAUUCCACCAUAAUUUUUUUUUUUUUUUUGCUUUGAAAUCUCACCAUCACAGAUCUAUACGUAAGUAUAAGUAAUUUUUAUUACAUACCUACGUAUAAUAUAAUUAUAAAAUGUUAUAGAUGUGUAAGGAAAGUGGAAUAAAAGUUUGUAAAAUUUUC